rnacentral:rRNA from 1 species
GACGAAGGAUGCAAGCGUUAUCCGGAUUCAUUGGGUUUAAAGGGUGCGUAGGCGGACUGAUAAGUCAGUGGUGAAAUCUCUCAGCUUAACUGAGAAACUGCCAUUGAUACUGUUAGUCUAGAGUACAGAUGAUGUGGGCGAAAUAUGACAUGUAGCGGUGAAAUGCUUAGAUAUGUCAUAGAACACCGAUUGCGAAGGCAGCUCACAAAACUGCAACUGACGCUGAGGCACGAAAGUGCGGGGAUCAAACAGG